CAGGCCUAACACAUGCAAGUCGAGCGGAUGAGAGGAGCUUGCUCCUCGAUUCAGCGGCGGACGGGUGAGUAAUGCCUAGGAAUCUGCCUAGUAGUGGGGGACAACGUUUCGAAAGGAACGCUAAUACCGCAUACGUCCUACGGGAGAAAGUGGGGGAUCUUCGGACCUCACGCUAUUAGAUGAGCCUAGGUCGGAUUAGCUAGUUGGUAGGGUAAAGGCCUACCAAGGCGACGAUCCGUAACUGGUCUGAGAGGAUGAUCAGUCACACUGGAACUGAGACACGGUCCAGACUCCUACGGGAGGCAGCAGUGGGGAAUAUUGGACAAUGGGCGAAAGCCUGAUCCAGCCAUGCCGCGUGUGUGAAGAAGGCCUUCGGGUCGUAAAGCACUUUAAGUUGGGAGGAAGGGCUCAUAGCGAAUACCUGUGAGUUUUGACGUUACCAACAGAAUAAGCACCGGCUAACUUCGUGCCAGCAGCCGCGGUAAU
rnacentral:rRNA from 1 species